rnacentral:misc_RNA from 1 species
GAUGAAGAACGUAGCGAAAUGCGAUAAGUAAUGUGAAUUGCAGAAUUCAGUGAAUCAUCGAAUCUUUGAACGCACAUUGCGCCCAUUAGUAUUCUAGUGGGCAUGCCUGUUCGAGCGUCAUUACAACCCUCAAGCUCAGCUUGGUGUUGGGCCCCGCCGCCCCGGCGGGCCCUAAAGUCAGUGGCGGUGCCGUCCGGCUCCGAGCGUAGUAAUUCUUCUCGCUCUGGAGGUCCGGUCGUGUGCUCGCCAGCAACCCCCAAUUUUUUUCAGGUUGACCUCGGAUCAGGUAGGGAUACCCGCUGAACUUAAGCAUAUCAAUAAGCGGAGGA